GGGCCCGCACAAGCGGUGGAGUAUGUGGUUUAAUUCGAUGCAACGCGAAGAACCUUACCAGGGUUUGACAUCCUGCGAAUCUCUUGGAAACAGGAGAGUGCCUUCGGGAACGCAGUGACAGGUGGUGCAUGGCUGUCGUCAGCUCGUGCCGUGAGGUGUCAGGUUAAGUCCUAUAACGAGCGCAACCCACGUCUUUAGUUGCCCAGCAUUUAGUUGGGCACUCUAGAGAGACUGCCGGUGAUAAACCGGAGGAAGGUGUGGAUGACGUCAAGUCAUCAUGCCCCUUACAUCCUGGGCUACACACGUACUACAAUGCUACGGACAAAGGGCAGCAAGUUCGCGAGGACAAG
rnacentral:rRNA from 1 species